rnacentral:rRNA from 1 species
UGGUAAUGCCGGAUGCUCCAGUUGGAUGCAUGUCCUUCUGGGAAAGAUUCAUCGGUAUGGGAUGGGGUCGCGUCCUAUCAGCUUGAUGGCGGGGUAACGGCCCACCAUGGCUUCGACGGGUAGCCGGCCUGAGAGGGCGACCGGCCACAUUGGGACUGAGAUACGGCCCAGACUCCUACGGGAGGCAGCAGUGGGGAAUAUUGCACAAUGGGCGCAAGCCUGAUGCAGCGACGCCGCGUGCGGGAUGACGGCCUUCGGGUUGUAAACCGCUUUUGACUGGGAGCAAGCCCUUCGGGGUGAGUGUACCUUUCGAAUAAGCACCGGCUAACUACGUGCCAGCAGCCGCGGUAAUACGUAGGGUGCAAGCGUUAUCCGGAAUUAUUGGGCGUAAAGGGCUCGUAGGCGGUUCGUCGCGUCCGGUGUGAAAGUCCAUCGCUUAACGGUGGAUCCGCGCCGGGUACGGGCGGGCUUGAGUGCGGUAGGGGAGACUGGAAUUCCCGGUGUAACGGUGGAAUGUGUAGAUA